rnacentral:lncRNA from 1 species
UCGCUCAAGUAACUGAUUGUUUAUUCUAUCAAUAGCUGAAAGGAGAGAUUAAGCAGUUAUAAUGACUGGUAUAUUUUCUGCCAAUUGCGUUGCUACACGUUUUGUGUUCUAGUAGAACUGGAAAUUUGUAUUUCAAUUUUUAAGUUCCAUCUUACCUGAUUUACCACAUUUUAGCUAUGAAGGGUGGUUGUGCAUUUUUGUACUUACAGGAGUAAAUGUAAUAACUGCUAAGUAGACAAUGAUUCAGUAAAGAAGCGCUGUUUUCUACUGUAAGACCUAAUCUUUGGCAUAAAUUUAAUACAUUGUGACGCUGGCAUUAAAUUAACCUAGACGAAAGGAUGAGCGUUAUUCCAAAAGGCCUCUGUUGUCAGGCAUCCCCAGAAAAGAUGAAGUGACGUUUCUUGUGCUGUUUGACAAAAGCAAAAAAGAUUUGACUCCGAAAGAUUAUUUUAAACAGAACUUGUUGCGCGAUUCUCCUAUGGAGAAAUUUCAUGUUGGAAGUUCCAUAGUUUCGAGCUAAGUGUACAGAUCCCGGGCAGUGGAUGAAUUUACCCCCAGUUCAAUUUUCCACAUCGUCAAGUUUACUUUCCUGGAAUUUUUUCACCUGGCAAUGACCAUCUCAAAGAUCUCGUAGCCCUCCUAAUAGCUGAAGUUAAGAAGGAAACUUAAAAGCAAAGCUUAUCUUAGAAUCAACUGCAGGUUAGAAUUCUUGAAUCAUCUGUCAUCAGAUUAUUAAUUGACAUCACUCCUGCGUUAGCCUUGUGCUUAUAAAAAAGAUCUUGCCUGCGAUUAUGAUCUUCGGGUUAUUCCAGGUAUGACCAGCACUAAAAUCAGCUUGAGACGCAAAGGAACCCCUAUAGUUUAAGUCAUCCCACAGCUCAGUAAGUUCUUGGACAAAAGCAUCUUGUAUAUCAGCCAAGAUUUCAGACAUCUUUUGUUGCCAAGUUACCAUGAGAAAAAGUAAUUUUACACCUACCUCACUAGUUGCUACCUGAGAUAAAUGGAAAUCGAAAUAGCGCUCCCAUUAAGAUUUGAAAUCGUUGAACUUGAGAUUCAACGCCUCAUUAAUUCCCGAUUAUGACUGUAGCAUCCUUUGGUCUGGACUGGACCUGACUGGUCAAAGAAUUGACUGAAAUAUCACAACUACGGCUUAAAGCUGUAGAAAAACUAAAAAGAGACACAGGAAAGGCAAAAUGGAGCAUGGAUGGGCAAAGUUGGAGAAGAUUUACAAGUAUUUUAUUGGGAUAAACUUGCUGCGACGUGACUUCUUUUAAAUUCAUAUAAAUUUGUAUAAGAGUGUUAUUUAUAAUGUUUAGAAUCAUUCUUUGACCUAGGCCCUUUAAACACCAGUCAAAGUGAUUGCAUUGAAGUUCGCUUUGGCCCUGGAUUCGAAUGCGUAACCGCGUGCCUGCUUGUAUUUCCCAUCAAUCAAUGCUGGAUGUGUUAGUCCACCCCAGGAUUGCGCAAAGAGUGUUCCGUAGGAGAUGUUGCAUUACAACACCGAUGGUGAUGGAUGGUCAAUGAUGACUUCUGAAUAUAUCUAGAUAAUAGGCUUUGAGAAGUUCCAGGAUUCACAUGCUCGUGUUUCACGAACUGCCUCCUGUUUGUAGACAGCAAGUUAGAUGAUAUGUUCUUGCUGUGCUGGCUGGGGUGUACUUGAUCCUCUGAAGCCAACACACUGAGGGUUGUAAUGGAUCAGAUGUAGUAAGCUUAAUUCCACGAGGUAGACGACUGCACGGACGCUAAAGCAGGCAGUACUUGAAGUUGUGUGACAUUUAAGCUGCUAACACAUAUCAUAUAUGACGAACCGAUUUUAGACAGAUUUCACCAGUAGAGUUGUAUGAUGUUAUAUUCUUGGCCACCUGGAGGACACAUGCAUGACAUAUACAUGUAGCAAACAGUCAUCAAUUUCAUGAGCUGGAGAGUGCCAACAGCCCAAGAUACUGUUACAUGUUCAUUUAAUUCCAGGAUUUAAUUCGGUGUUUCAAAGAGUGGCCAAUAAAACUGUUUAUUGUAUUUUGUUCUCUGUAUACUGUUACGUUGCCAAUUCCUGUAAUUCAUAUCAGUCAGUUGUGCAGCCAAGAUAAAGGGAACCAGGCCCCCAGGCCCCUGCUUCUUUUAAAAAUAGUAGCCUAUGAUUAGGCUACCUUGAUGGGGUGUAGUGCCAGAAAGAGAGCCAAUAGAGAAUUUAACAGGAGCAGAUCCUGGGGAUUCACAAAUACUCUGCUUGAGUGGCCCCCAGUAGUCAUAGUGUCAUCUUGGCAACCUUGAAAAAAUAACUCUCCAAAGAUGAAUUACCCCAGGUGAAGUGGGAACAGAGACACCUAGGGUGGGAAGGGAAGUGGGGGGUCGGGAGGAAAGUGGGGAGUGGGGUAUAGACCAUGGCUCCCUCAGCCCCACUUGUAAAUCCAUCUGUGAUCUGACAGUACAUGUAAUUCAUUACCCUUCAUUUGGGAGAAUAAGAAUUGCUGUGGGAUGUGAACGGCAGGUGAUUGUUUACACUCCUUUUUGAGUUCUCUUAAAUGUUUAUGAGGGUUUCUAUAACUCUAGGAAACACAGAGAAAAUGUUUUUUUCCUGCCCUUAGGCACAUAAGGCCACAUUGCUUUAUAAGUAAGAAAGUAGAAUAACCCUUAUUUCAAUAAUGCAUAAUCAUGUCAUCAUUACAUCAACAAAC